rnacentral:rRNA from 1 species
UACGUAGGGGGCAAGCGUUGUCCGGAUUCACUGGGCGUAAAGAGCUCGCAGGCGGCUUGGCAAGUCGGGUGUGAAACCUCCAGGCUCAACCUGGAGACGCCACCCGAUACUGCAAUGGCUAGAGUCCGGUAGGGGACCACGGAAUACCUGGUGUAGCGGUGAAAUGCGCAGAUAUCAGGUGGAACACCGGUGGCGAAGGCGGCAUCCUGGACCAACACUGACACUGAGGAGCGAAAGCCAGGGGAGCAAACGGG